GAGUCCAUGGUGGCCCAAAAAAUUAAUAUGAUUUUCGCGGCCUUGGGCUCCACUCUCAUUGAUGCUGCCGGAGUCCGAUCUUGCUCGCCGUCGGCCAGUGAGUUCUCUAGGACUCUCUCAUCCCUCGUCUCCCCUGCUCCGAUGGGUUCUCUAUUUCUCAUAUUUAUACUUCUUCGUUCUCUCUUCCACGGUCAGUUUUCCCCUUCUUUGAUCUCCUCCGCUAUAUAUUGUAUAAUGGGUGUUUUUUGUUGUUGUUGUUGUUGCGGCGGCUGUGGCUUAAUCUUGGGUUCCAUCUGUUGGUUAUGGCUGGGUGUGGAUUUGGCUUUGCUUGUUCCGUCCUCCGUCGUGACCCUGUGAUCCAAGACAACGCCCAUCUCCUGGCAACUAACCCUGUCAUUGAUCCCCGAAAGAGAGGCCAGGAUCAUGUAGCUGCCAUUCAAUAUUGCUCGACUCUCCUGUUGGUCCCUUGGGCCCUCUCGUUGCAAUUGCAUCAACUCUAGUCAAUCUUGAUGAAUCUUGCAUGCAGUCCAUCUUCUGCAGGUGGCUCUGUGGCUACGGAUCAAGGUUCUUCAGGGGGACAAGGGGAAAAGGAUUGUUUCUAUACUAUAGUAUUGGACAUGAAUGCUAUCCUUUUCUCCCUCUUUUCUUUUCUGAAGGUGUUGCAAAUAUUCGUUCAGAUACCUUAUAUAUUGUAAUGGAUGUUGAAUGUCUCUGAAUCCUUGAAUAUUUUAUUCUUUGAGGUAGCUGCUGCUUGUCUGAUGAAUACCAACAUGUAAUCCUAGUAGUUGAAUACCUCACAUUUAAAUACAGCUACAGGGCAUAAUUGGAAUC